GUGGGGAAUAUUGGACAAUGGGCGCAAGCCUGAUCCAGCAAUGCCGCGUGGGUGAAGAAGGUCUUCGGAUCGUAAAGCCCUUUCGACAGGGACGAUGAUGACGGUACCUGUAGAAGAAGCCCCGACUAACUUCGUGCCAGCAGCCGCGGUAAUACGAAGGGGGCUAGCGUUACUCGGAAUUACUGGGCGUAAAGGGCGCGUAGGCGGCUCUGUUAGUCAGGCGUGAAAUUCCUGGGCCUAACCUGGGGACUGCGCUUGAUACUGCAGGGCUUGAGGCCGAGAGAGGGUGGUGGAAUUCCCAGUGUAGAGGUGAAAUUCGUAGAUAUUGGGAAGAACACCGGUGGCGAAGGCGACCACCUGGCUCGGUUCUGACGCUGAGGCGCGACAGCGUGGGGAGCAAACAGGAUUAGAUACCCUUGUAGUCC
rnacentral:rRNA from 1 species